rnacentral:rRNA from 1 species
AUUGAACGCUGGCGGAAUGCUUUACACAUGCAAGUCGAACGGUAACAGGUCUUCGGAUGCUGACGAGUGGCGAAUGGGUGAGUAAUAUAUCGGAACGUGCCCAGUCGUGGGGGAUAACGUAGCGAAAGUUACGCUAAUACCGCAUACGAUCUAUGGAUGAAAGCGGGGGAUCGCAAGACCUCGCGCGAUUGGAGCGGCCGAUAUAAGAUUAGGUAGUUGGUGGGGUAAAGGCUCACCAAGCCAACGAUCUGUAGCUGGUCUGAGAGGACGACCAGCCACACUGGAACUGAGACACGGUCCAGACUCCUACGGGAGGCAGCAGUGGGGAAUUUUGGACAAUGGACGCAAGUCUGAUCCAGCCAUUCCGCGUGCAGGAUGAAGGCCCUCGGGUUGUAAACUGCUUUUGUACGGAACGAAAAGGUCUCUCCUAAUACGAGGGGCUCAUGACGGUACCGUAAGAAUAAGCACCGGCUAACUACGUGCCAGCCGCCGCCGUAACAC